GGUGUGAACACUUCCUUCUGCCUACCCAGCAUGUCACUUUCCCAAAGCAGGGUCUCAGAGAUACAGAAUUGCACAGAGAGAGUCCCAGUCCACAGAGAAGGUGAAAACAUAAAUGAUCUCGAGUGUUGCUGACUCUCACAUCCAACAGAGCAUCCAACAGAGGCUCACACAGGUGGCCAUCUGACCAAAGCCAGCCCUCUAAAUAGAAGUUUCCAUAACGUGGUGCAACUCCACCCAGCAGGCCUUGGGAAGCCGCUGCUAUCUGUGAGCGUCCAAGGGAGAGCUUUGGUUGGGAGCCUGCUAUUGCUCAUGGAGCUGUGAGCACAGCGGGACAGCAUGUGCUCGUCUCCACUGUUGGCUCUGCCUGAAGAUGGGGACUCCGUACUGCGUUCCUCCUUGGGUGAGACUGUCAAAGAGCUGGGUCCCUCAGGCCACAAAAGAGUGGGGUAGGAGAAUCAGAGACUUAGUCCAGGUUCUACAACUAACCAAUCCAUCUAUUUAUCAUCCAUCCAUCCAUCCAUCCAUCCAUCAUCCAUCCAUACAUCAUACAUCCAUCUAUCCAUCCAUCCAUCUAUCCAUCCAUCCAUUCAUCCAUCCAUCCAUCCAUCCAUCCAUCCAUCCAUCCUUUUAUCCAUCCAUCCAUCCAUCCAUCCAUCCAUCCAUCCUUUUAUCCAUCCAUCUAAGGACUGUUUAUUGAGCACCUACCAUGUUUCAGACACCCCAUGCUAUACUUUGAAGAGACAGAAAUAAAAUAGACACAGACUGCACUAUCCUCAUAAAGUCUACAGUCAGGUGGGAAAGGCAGAUAUCAAAAAUGUAGUAAUAGAUGAAGAUUUGGGAGCAACCAAAACGUCCAUUGAUAGAUUGGUUAAAUGCAAUUUGGCUUAUUCUAGCAUGAGAUACCAUGUGGCCCUUAAAUGAAGCAGAUCCCUAUAUGGUGACAGAACAACACCUAAGUGACAAAAGUGAAGGCACAGGCAAUGACUGCACUUCAUGUCCAUUUCUACAAAACAAGAGCCUUGGAUAGGCUUUGAUAUAUUGGUUCUUGUAGAGAAGGUCUCUGGAAGGAUCUGCAGGAAAUUGGGAAAAGUUGGUGUCUAGUGAGAAAGCUGGGGUACUAGGGUUCAAAGAGGUGAGAGAGUUUUUGUGCUGCUUGAAUGUUUUAUUUUGAAUGUUUUAUUUUUUGAAUGUGUAAUGUUUUGUCAAUAAUAUGGCAAGGAAAUUUUAGAGAUGUUGGUCAAAGAAUACAAAAUUUCAGUUAGACAGGAGGAAUAAAUUCGAG
rnacentral:lncRNA from 10 species